rnacentral:misc_RNA from 1 species
GAAUGAGCAGAAUAACAGUGAAUCAUCGUAAUCUUUGCAACGCACCUUGCCGCUCCUUGAGUAUUCCGAGGRGCAUGCCUGUUUGAGUGUCAUGAAAUCCUCAACCYGCUCCUCUCUUCUUAUCUAUAAGGAAAUAGCGGGCUUGAGGAUAUCUGGAGGUGUGCUGGUCGUCUCCCCAGUAACACCCGGCCUCCGUCGCAAAGAUGCUAUCUAGACAGGAACCAUKGC